AGUGAACGCUGGCGGUAGGCCUAACACAUGCAAGUCGAACGGCAGCACAGUAAGAGCUUGCUCUUACGGGUGGCGAGUGGCGGACGGGUGAGGAAUACAUCGGAAUCUACUUUUUCGUGGGGGAUAACGUAGGGAAACUUACGCUAAUACCGCAUACGACCUACGGGUGAAAGCAGGGGAUCUUCGGACCUUGCGCGAUUGAAUGAGCCGAUGUCGGAUUAGCUAGUUGGCGGGGUAAAGGCCCACCAAGGCGACGAUCCGUAGCUGGUCUGAGAGGAUGGUCAGCCACACUGGAACUGAGACACGGUCCAGACUCCUACGGGAGGCAGCAGUGGGGAAUAUUGGACAAUGGGCGCAAGCCUGAUCCAGCCAUACCGCGUGGGUGAAGAAGGCCUUCGGGUUGUAAAGCCCUUUUGUUGGGAAAGAAAAGCAGCAGGUUAAUACCCCGCUGUUCUGACGGUACCCAAAGAAUAAGCACCGACUAACUUCGUG
rnacentral:rRNA from 1 species